rnacentral:rRNA from 1 species
UGGGCGCAAGCCUGAUCCAGCAAUGUCGCGUGAGUGAAGAAGGCCUUCGGGUUGUAAAGCACUUUUGUCAGGGAAGAAACGGUGAGGGCUAAUAUCCUUUGCUAAUGACGGUACCUGAAGAAUAAGCACCGGCUAACUACGUGCCAGCAGCCGCGGUAAU